AGACGAUGGGGAUGCGUUCCAUUAGAUAGUAGGCGGGGUAACGGCCCACCUAGUCUUCGAUGGAUAGGGGUUCUGAGAGGAAGGUCCCCCACAUUGGAACUGAGACACGGUCCAAACUCCUACGGGAGGCAGCAGUGAGGAAUAUUGGUCAAUGGGCGAGAGCCUGAACCAGCCAAGUAGCGUGAAGGAUGACUGCCCUAUGGGUUGUAAACUUCUUUUAUAAAGGAAUAAAGUCGGGUAUGGAUACCCGUUUGCAUGUACUUUAUGAAUAAGGAUCGGCUAACUCCGUGCCAGCAGCCGCGGUAAUACGGAGGAUCCGAGCGUUAUCCGGAUUUAUUGGGUUUAAAGGGAGCGUAGAUGGAUGUUUAAGUCAGUUGUGAAAGUUUGCGGCUCAACCGUAAAAUUGCAGUUGAUACUGGAUAUCUUGAGUGCAGUUGAGGCAGGCGGAAUUCGUGGUGUAGCGGUGAAAUGCUUAGAUAUCACGAAGAACUCCGAUUGCGAAGGCAGCUUGCUAAGCUGCAACUGACAUUGAGGCUCGAAAGUGUGGGUAUCAAACAGGAUUAGAUACCCUGGUAGUCCA
rnacentral:rRNA from 1 species